GCGUAAUGCUCAGUAACACGUGGACAAUCUGCCCUCGGGUGGGGAAUAAACUCGCGAAAGUGAGGCUAAUACCCCAUAGGCACAGGAGGCUGGAAUGCAUCUGUGCUCCAAAGCUCCGGCGCCCGAGGAUGAGUCUGCGGCCUAUCAGGUAGUAGUCAGGGUCAAGACCUGACUAGCCAGCGACGGGUACGGGCCUUGAGAGAGGUCGCCCGGAGAUGGACUCUGAGACACGAGUCCAGGCCCUACGGGGCGCAGCAGGCGCGAAAACUUCGCAAUGCAGGAAACUGUGACGAGGGAACUCCAAGUGUCCAUGCAUUGCAUGGACUGUUUGCCAGCCUAAAAAGCUGGUAGAGUAAGGGGUGGGAAAGACCGGUGCCAGCCGCCGCGGUAACACCGGCACCUCAAGUGGUAGCCACUAUUAUUGGGCCUAAAGCGUUCGUAGCCGG
rnacentral:rRNA from 1 species